rnacentral:rRNA from 1 species
UACGUAGGUCCCGAGCGUUGUCCGAAUUUAUUGGGCGUAAAGCGAGCGCAGGUGGUUUAUUAAGUCUGGUGUAAAAGGCAGUGGCUCAACCAUUGUAUGCAUUGGAAACUGGUAAACUUGAGUGCAGGAGAGGAGAGUGGAAUUCCAUGUGUAGCGGUGAAAUGCGUAGAUAUAUGGAGGAACACCGGUGGCGAAAGCGGCUCUCUGGCCUGUAACUGACACUGAGGCUCGAAAGCGUGGGGAGCAAACAGG